rnacentral:rRNA from 2 species
GAUGAACGCUGGCGGUAUGCUUAACACAUGCAAGUCGAACGGUCUCUUAGGAGAUAGUGGCGGACGGGUGAGUAACGCGUGAGAAUCUGGCUCUAGGUCUGGGACAACCACUGGAAACGGUGGCUAAUACCGGGUGUGCCGAAAGGUGAAAGGUUAACUGCCUGGAGAUGAGCUCGCGUCUGAUUAGCUAGUUGGUAAGGUAAAGGCUUACCAAGGCGACGAUCAGUAGCUGGUCUGAGAGGACGAUCAGCCACACUGGGACUGAGACAC